CUUUUCUCUCUUGAUAUAAAAAAACAGAGCAUUCAUCUGAAGUCUUCUUCCUUUCUGUUUUGGGAUAAUGAGAAGUGAUUUAUUGCAUCAAUCAUCUGCAACCCUCUGACAGAAACGCGCUAACAUCUCUAUUGCUGCCAAGAAAGGAUAAGCAUGUCUAAAACCUGGGUGUCACAAAGUCAAGACGCAUGAGGGCCAGCUAUGCAGCAACCCAACGAUCUUUGGAGCCAGAAAUAACAAGUAAACUACCUCCAAGUUUUUGGAGGCCUGAAGUUGUUUUUUUUUUCUUUUUUUCUCUCUCUCUCUCUCUUUUUUUUUUUUUUUUGAGCUUUUUUUUUUUUUUAAGUAAAAUUUAUAAAUUUAUCAAGCAAAGGAAAUAUCCUUCUAAUUAUUUGAUUUACAUCAAGGCAUUCAACUUUCCAUUAUGUGAUGGGGGCCACGGGUUUUCCUGAAAACAAAAGUUUUAAAAAAUUGAGGAGCUGAAGGAAAAAUGACUUUUGUGUACAGCCCAUUAACUUCUGUGUGCUGAGCACACAGCCACUCCCACUGCGCAAACAGAAGAACUUUUAUGCCGCAUCGAAGCGGACCAGCCGAGGACUUGCACGAACACGGAGAAUGGGGAAAGCCUUUCCUAAAUUUCCUAUUCUGCAGCAGCCUGCUUUCCUGUGGCUUCAGCGAAGUACCACCACACACCUUUUCUUCUCCAGGCACACGCGGCUCUGAGGAUGGGACUUGCUCACCAGAAGCCAUGAAGAUGUCCUGGCAAUGGUGCUGUCCUACUUCUUCUCUUCACACUGCAAUGCUAUCCUGAUAGGAUUUGUUCCCUCCAAGAGAGCUGAAGCUGGAGAGUGUAUGUCUUUUAACAGAAACAUAUCAGAUUAAGAAUGUACAGCCUUCUUACUGUUGUCCUCUUUCCCUCCCGGGAGGAAGACUCCGGCCAGAGUAACUAUCUCACUUAUUUCACGGAUGUAUGUAAAAGGACAAAUAAAAGCUCCACAUUCUUUACUGUCCUCCUCCUCCCAACUGCCAAACUGUGACCCAGCGAGCCUCGUCUUUGCAUUAUUUCACACAAACUGCUGCUAUAAACAUUUCCAAAGCUAACCUCUCCCAUCUCUUAUUCCAAGCUGACUGCCUCUCCUCUCAAGCCAACUUCAACUUAGCGCUUCAUCAUGAGAACACAGUCCAGUGCUCAGCAAUGCAUGUCACCAUGGUCUUUCUGGGCUGGACAGAAGCCUAAUGGGUACACUGUGGUGAGAUCAUGAGCUAGGAAAGGGGUUGUUUUGACAGUUGAAAAUUUCUGGCAAAUACAUCCCAGGCAGAAAACAAAUUGUGUGCUUCCAGAAAGAUAUAUACAAACCAAACCAUCUGCAAAGGCACAGGUAGUGUUGUUAGUUCUUGCCAGGGAACAGGAACUGUCUGUGGCGAGUGCUGUCAGGAAAUUAGUACCAGAACAAAGUGUGACAGAUGCAAUGCGUUACUGGGGCAGGAACUAAUUCAAAUUCCAGCUCCUUUUUUUUUUUUUCUUUUUUCUUUUUUUUUUUUCU
ensembl:lncRNA